GCGUCGGUGGCACAGAGGUAGAGUGCUCGCCUACCACGCAAGUGGUCCAGAGUUCGAUCCCCCGCCGACGCA
rnacentral:tRNA from 1 species